rnacentral:rRNA from 1 species
GGGUUGUGAGGUUAAGCGACUAAGCGUACACGGUGGAUGCCCUGGCAGUCAGAGGCGAUGAAGGACGUGCUAAUCUGCGAUAAGCGCCGGUAAGGUGAUAUGAACCGUUAUAACCGGCGAUUUCCGAAUGGGGAAACCCAGUGUGACUCGUCACACUAUCAUUAACUGAAUCCAUAGGUUAAUGAGGCGAACCGGGGGAACUGAAACAUCUAAGUACCCCGAGGAAAAGAAAUCAACCGAGAUUCCCCCAGUAGCGGCGAGCGAACGGGGAGGAGCCCAGAGCCUGAAUCAGCAUGUGUGUUAGUGGAAGCGUCUGGAAAGGCGCGCGAUACAGGGUGACAGCCCCGUACACAAAAGCGCAUAUGCUGUGAGCUCGAUGAGUAGGGCGGGACACGUGGUAUCCUGUCUGAAUAUGGGGGGACCAUCCUCCAAGGCUAAAUACUCCUGACUGACCGAUAGUGAACCAGUACCGUGAGGGAAAGGCGAAAAGAACCCCGGCGAGGGGAGUGAAAAAGAACCUGAAACCGUGUACGUACAAGCAGUGGGAGCCCCACCACUAAGCCAGUGGUGAACUCCACAUACGCAUCCUUUGCUGAGGAUACGGUUAACGGAGCGAAAGCGACGUUCAACCGCAAAAGAAGCAGAGGGGGCUUAGUGGUGGGGUGACUGCGUACCUUUUGUAUAAUGGGUCAGCGACUUAUAUUCUGUAGCAAGGUUAACCGAAUAGGGGAGCCGGAGGGAAACCGAGUCUUAAUUGGGCGUUAAGUUGCAGGGUAUAGACCCGAAACCCGGUGAUCUAGCCAUGGGCAGGUUGAAGGUUGGGUAACACUAACUGGAGGACCGAACCGACUAAUGUUGAAAAAUUAGCGGAUGACCUGUGGCUGGGGGUGAAAGGCCAAUCAAACCGGGAGAUAGCUGGUUCUCCCCGAAAGCUAUUUAGGUAGCGCCUCGUGAAUUCAUCUCCGGGGGUAGAGCACUGUUUCGGCUAGGGGGCCAUCCCGGCUUACCAACCCGAUGCAAACUGCGAAUACCGGAGAAUGUUAUCACGGGAGACACACGGCGGGUGCUAACGUCCGUCGUGAAGAGGGAAACAACCCAGACCGCCAGCUAAGGUCCCAAAGUCAUGGUUAAGUGGGAAACGAUGUGGGAAGGCCCAGACAGCCAGGAUGUUGGCUUAGAAGCAGCCAUCAUUUAAAGAAAGCGUAAUAGCUCACUGGUCGAGUCGGCCUGCGCGGAAGAUGUAACGGGGCUAAACCAUGCACCGAAGCUGCGGCAGCGACGCUGAUGCGUUGUUGGGUAGGGGAGCGUUCUGUAAGCCUGUGAAGGUGGCCUGUGAGGGUUGCUGGAGGUAUCAGAAGUGCGAAUGCUGACAUAAGUAACGAUAAAGCGGGUGAAAAGCCCGCUCGCCGGAAGACCAAGGGUUCCUGUCCAACGUUAAUCGGGGCAGGGUGAGUCGACCCCUAAGGCGAGGCCGAAAGGCGUAGUCGAUGGGAAACGGGUUAAUAUUCCCGUACUUGAUGUUACUGCGAAGGGGGGACGGAGAAGGCUAUGUUGGCCGGGCGACGGUUGUCCCGGUUUAAGCGUGUAGGUGUGUGUUCCAGGUAAAUCCGGUUCACUUUAACACUGAGGCGUGAUGACGAGGCACUACGGUGCUGAAGCAACAAAUGCCCUGCUUCCAGGAAAAGCCUCUAAGCAUCAGGUAACAUCAAAUCGUACCCCAAACCGACACAGGUGGUCAGGUAGAGAAUACCAAGGCGCUUGAGAGAACUCGGGUGAAGGAACUAGGCAAAAUGGUGCCGUAACUUCGGGAGAAGGCACGCUGACACGUAGGUGAAGUGAUUUACUCAUGGAGCUGAAGUCAGUCGAAGAUACCAGCUGGCUGCAACUGUUUAUUAAAAACACAGCACUGUGCAAACACGAAAGUGGACGUAUACGGUGUGACGCCUGCCCGGUGCCGGAAGGUUAAUUGAUGGGGUCAGCGCAAGCGAAGCUCCUGAUCGAAGCCCCGGUAAACGGCGGCCGUAACUAUAACGGUCCUAAGGUAGCGAAAUUCCUUGUCGGGUAAGUUCCGACCUGCACGAAUGGCGUAAUGAUGGCCAGGCUGUCUCCACCCGAGACUCAGUGAAAUUGAACUCGCUGUGAAGAUGCAGUGUACCCGCGGCAAGACGGAAAGACCCCGUGAACCUUUACUAUAGCUUGACACUGAACAUUGAGCCUUGAUGUGUAGGAUAGGUGGGAGGCUUUGAAGUGUGGACGCCAGUCUGCAUGGAGCCGACCUUGAAAUACCACCCUUUAAUGUUUGAUGUUCUAACGUGGACCCGUGAUCCGGGUUGCGGACAGUGUCUGGUGGGUAGUUUGACUGGGGCGGUCUCCUCCUAAAGAGUAACGGAGGAGCACGAAGGUUGGCUAAUCCUGGUCGGACAUCAGGAGGUUAGUGCAAUGGCAUAAGCCAGCUUGACUGCGAGCGUGACGGCGCGAGCAGGUGCGAAAGCAGGUCAUAGUGAUCCGGUGGUUCUGAAUGGAAGGGCCAUCGCUCAACGGAUAAAAGGUACUCCGGGGAUAACAGGCUGAUACCGCCCAAGAGUUCAUAUCGACGGCGGUGUUUGGCACCUCGAUGUCGGCUCAUCACAUCCUGGGGCUGAAGUAGGUCCCAAGGGUAUGGCUGUUCGCCAUUUAAAGUGGUACGCGAGCUGGGUUUAGAACGUCGUGAGACAGUUCGGUCCCUAUCUGCCGUGGGCGCUGGAGAACUGAGGGGGGCUGCUCCUAGUACGAGAGGACCGGAGUGGACGCAUCACUGGUGUUCGGGUUGUCAUGCCAAUGGCACUGCCCGGUAGCUAAAUGCGGAAGAGAUAAGUGCUGAAAGCAUCUAAGCACGAAACUUGCCCCGAGAUGAGUUCUCCCUGAGACUUAGAGUCUCCUGAAGGAACGUUGAAGACGACGACGUUGAUAGGCCGGGUGUGUAAGCGCAGCGAUGCGUUGAGCUAACCGGUACUAAUGAACCGUGAGGCUUAACCUUACAACGCCGAAG